rnacentral:rRNA from 1 species
AGAUGGGAGCUUGCUCCCUGAUGUUAGCGGCGGACGGGUGAGUAACACGUGGGUAACCUGCCUGUAAGACUGGGAUAACUCCGGGAAACCGGGGCUAAUACCGGAUGCUUGUUUGAACCGCAUGGUUCAAACAUAAAAGGUGGCUUCGGCUACCACUUACAGAUGGACCCGCGGCGCAUUAGCUAGUUGGUGAGGUAAUGGCUCACCAAGGCAACGAUGCGUAGCCGACCUGAGAGGGUGAUCGGCCACACUGGGACUGAGACACGGCCCAGACUCCUACGGGAGGCAGCAGUAGGGAAUCUUCCGCAAUGGACGAAAGUCUGACGGAGCAACGCCGCGUGAGUGAUGAAGGUUUUCGGAUCGUAAAGCUCUGUUGUUAGGGAAGAACAAGUACCGUUCGAAUAGGGCGGUACCUUGACGGUACCUAACCAGAAAGCCACGGCUAACUACGUGCCAGCAGCCGCGGUAAUACGUAGGUGGCAAGCGUUGUCCGGAAUUAUUGGGCGUAAAGGGCUCGCAUGCGGUUCCUUAAGUCUGAUGUGAAAGCCUCCGGCUCAACCGGGGAGGGUCAUUGGAAACUGGGGAACUUGAGUGCAUAAUAGGAGAGUGGAAUUCCACGUGUAGCGGUGAAAUGCGUAGAGAUGUGUAGGAACACCAGUGGCGAAGGCGACUCUCUGGUCUGUAA